ACCAACUACUACUUUUAUAAGAAGCAAAUCUAGGAUAAAAGGAACAUACCUAAGAUAAUAAAGUCCUUUCCCAUAUUAUGUCCUGAAAUUCUAAGUCUACAACUAACCCCACCUACUAAAUUGUAAUACAGAGCAAUCUUUACAUAAGAAGAAUCUACUUAUAAGAAUGUCGCUCCUGCAGGUUUUUGGUUGUAGUUCAGACAAAAAUCAAGUGAUUUACAAAAAGAAUGCCUAAGUGAAGUUUAAGACUGUUACGCCAAUUCCUAGGACAAACUGGUGGAAUACAAACUGGUGAAAAGCUGGAAAUUUUGAAAAAAAUAUUCAAAUUGUGGGACUUUUUUAAAAAAGGUCAAAUAAUGAAACUUCAUUGGUUUAUUCACUUAACACCUAUGUGUGAGGUUCUGAAAAAUGGUAAAAUAUAGAACCAGUCCCAGCCUUCACAGAUUCAAGAGUUUGGUAGGAAAGACAAAAACAAUACUAGUACCAUGCAGUAAAUGCUGUGAAGAGCAAACUUCAGAGUGUUAUAUAAUCAUAUAGUGGUAUGCUUAGGUAUGAAGGGGUUUCAGAAAGGUGAAAUGACCUACUUGUUGUGACCUGAAGGAUCAGAAAGUAAGGGUAUUCAGCAGUUACAGAAUAUCCAAAGGCAAGAAACAAGAGGAAGUGGCAAGAGAUGAAGACGUAAGCAAAAUCAAGAUCAGAGGGUUCUGUAUCAUAAGGAGUUUGAACUUAAAAGCAAUGAGCAGAACACAACUUAAUGUUUUGAGUGUGGAACUGCUAGGAUUACUCUAGAAGUAACAAAGUUGAUUGGCGGAAGACACUAAGGAGAGCAUCAAUUAUUCAGUUAAGAAACAAUAGCAGGGGGAAUGGAAUAGUCACAUACUUAAGUAGAAUUUUCUGGAUGUUUUUCUAGAUUGAAUGUUGAGAACAUGAGAAGAAUAAAAAGUGAGGGAUGAUAUCCAAGUUUCUGACCCGGGAAACUGGUUAGAUGACACACAUUAAUUGAUAAAGAGUACUCUCAGGAGAAAGAGGGUCUGCAGUGAAAUACUUGUAAGGUAAUAAGGUGAAGAUUUCCUUUAAAUUUGGGCCUCUUGCGAAGUCUGCACUAUAAACAGGAAAUUAAGGGCCCAUCAGUAUAUGUGUUAAGUGAAGCUGCUGGAGGACAAGUCAUAAAAAGAAAGGGGCAAAGAGGAGUUCCCGUUGUGGUGCAGCGAAAACAAAUCCAACUAAGAACCAUGAGGUUGGGGGUUCGAUCCCUGGCCUUGCUCAGUGGGUUAAGGAUCCAGCAUUGCUGUGGCUGUGGUGUAGGCCGGCAGCAACAGCUCAGGAUUAGAUCCGAGCCUGGGAACCUCCAUGUGUCUCGGGUACCACCCUAAAAGUUAGACAAAGGGGGGGGGGCAGGCAGAGAAAUGAGCCUGGAAAGAAGACCAAAAAUAAUCAGCAAGGGAGGUAUCAAGAAGUUUAAAAAAGCAAGGAAAAUCAGGAAAAUGUAGUGUCUCAGAAGCCAAAGGAAAAAUUACAAAAUUAACAGAAGAUGAUGUCAAAUAUUGCAAAGAAUCAAGUAAGAAAAAGACUGAAAGGUGUUCACUGGACUUAAUUAUGUAAGAAUAUCACUGGUGAUCCUGGAGUUCCCACUGUGGCUCAGUGGGUUAAGAAUCAGACUAGUACCCAUGAGGAUGUGGGUUCGACUCUGGCCCCUGCUCAGUGGGUUAAGGAUUCAGUGUU
rnacentral:lncRNA from 1 species